rnacentral:rRNA from 1 species
UACGAAGGGGGCUAGCGUUGCUCGGAAUUACUGGGCGUAAAGCGCACGUAGGCGGCUUUCUAAGUCGGGGGUGAAAUCCUGGAGCUCAACUCCAGAACUGCCUUCGAUACUGGGAGGCUCGAGUCCGGGAGAGGUGAGUGGAACUGCGAGUGUAGAGGUGAAAUUCGUAGAUAUUCGCAAGAACACCAGUGGCGAAGGCGGCUCACUGGCCCGGUACUGACGCUGAGGUGCGAAAGCGUGGGGAGCAAACAGG